rnacentral:rRNA from 1 species
AGUGAACGCUGGCGGUAGGCCUAACACAUGCAAGUCGAACGGCAGCACAGUAAGAGCUUGCUCUUACGGGUGGCGAGUGGCGGACGGGUGAGGAAUACAUCGGAAUCUACAUUUCCGUGGGGGAUAACGUAGGGAAACUUACGCUAAUACCGCAUACGACCUACGGGUGAAAGCAGGGAAUCUUCGGACCUUGCGCGAUUGAAUGAGCCGAUGUCGGAUUAGCUAGUUGGCGGGGUAAAGGCCCACCAAGGCGACGAUCCGUAGCUGGUCUGAGAGGAUGAUCAGCCACACUGGAACUGAGACACGGUCCAGACUCCUACGGGAGGCAGCAUUGGGGAAUAUUGGACAAUGGGCGCAAGCCUGAUCCAGCCAUACCGCGUGGGUGAAGAAGGCCUUCGGGUUUUAAAGCCCUUUUGUUGGGAAAGAAAAGCAGCAGGUUAAUACCCCGCUGUUCUGACGGUACCCAAAGAAUAAGCACCGGCUAACUUCGUG